rnacentral:rRNA from 1 species
CGGCGGACGGGUGAGUAAUGCUUAGGAAUCUGCCUAUUAGUGGGGGACAACGUUUCGAAAGGAACGCUAAUACCGCAUACGCCCUACGGGGGAAAGCAGGGGMUCUUCGGACCUUGCGCUAAUAGAUGAGCCUAAGUCAGAUUAGCUAGUUGGUGGGGUAAAGGCCUACCAAGGCGACGAUCUGUAGCGGGUCUGAGAGGAUGAUCCGCCACACUGGGACUGAGACACGGCCCAGACUCCUACGGGAGGCAGCAGUGGGGAAUAUUGGACAAUGGGSGGAACCCUGAUCCAGCCAUGCCGCGUGUGUGAAGAAGGCCUUUUGGUUGUAAAGCACUUUAAGCGAGGAGGAGGCUCCUAUAGAUAAUACCUAUAGUGAGUGGACGUUACUCGCAGAAUAAGCACCGGCUAACUCUGUGCCAGCAGCCGCGGUAAUACAGAGGGUGCGAGCGUUAAUCGGAUUUA